rnacentral:rRNA from 1 species
UAUUAUUAAUAACCUAUAAUAAGAGUUGGAAAGUACGAACAACUGUUUAAACACCAAAGAAUUUGGCGGUGUCUUAUCUUAUUAGGGGAACCUGUCCUAUAAUUCGAUAAUCCACGUAUAGAUUACCUAAUUUAGAAAUUCAGUAAGUGUACUGCCGUCUUUAGUAUACCUUUAUGAGAGUAUACAAUAAAUUUUAAAUUUAUUUUACGUCAGGUCAAAGUGCUGCCUAUAAUUGGGAUGAGAUGGGUUACAAUCUUUAUAUAGAUAACGGAAUAAAAUAUAAAUAUAUUUUAUAAAGGUGGACUUAAUAGUAAUUAUUUUAUAAAAUAAUGAAAAUAUAUUAAGACAAGU